AGCACAUCGCAGGUGGAGGCGGCUCCUCCUGGGAAGAUCUUCUCCACCUUCACCACAGGUUGGACCUUGGACUCUAUGCCGCCGGAUAUGCUGAUGCCUGCGACAUUGAAGACACUAAGUUCAAAUUGCUUCAAGGGUCACAGUUCAUACUCUUGUGGAGAACGUCGGCCUGAAUCUGAGACGUCUUGGCUUCCGACGGCAGGGUUUUCAGAGACUAGCCAGUUAGGGCUCAGGUGACCUUCAGGCGAGUGUUUGUGCUCCUCUGUGAACCAGUACCCAUCUACUGGAAUGUCUAGCAAUGGCGAGAAGGGGGCGUUGGGGCGCCGCCGCCUUUCUCUGGAUGCCCGUGGCCCUGACAGACUGAGUUUCUCCAGCUUGUCCGCUAGGUGGCUCUGCUUCUCCACUAUGGCAGCGCUGUGCAGCUCGAAGCCUCCUCGCAAAUCUAAAUCACAGUAUUUAAUUUUCACACAGCCUGUCAAAGCUGACUUUUUUUUUUUGUAUGUUCUGUGCAAAUUGUACCAAACGCCAAAUUUUGAUGGGUUCUUGCAUACAGGAACCGACUUGAAGCACCAACCUGGGAUGGGUGUGAUGAGACGGCGUUUGGGCGCUCGGCCGGAUGCGGGCGAGCGAAGAGGCGGCGUUCGGACUGAUGGGGGCAAAAAAAAGCAGAGGACCUCCACGGCGUUGCUGUGGCUAAUGUCCUCAAAGCUCACACCAUUGGCAGCCAGGAUUUGGUCACCCAUCUUGAUCCCGU